UACGUAGGGUGCGAGCGUUAAUCGGAAUUACUGGGCGUAAAGCGUGCGCAGGCGGUUAUGCAAGACAGAUGUGAAAUCCCCGGGCUCAACCUGGGCACUGCAGUUAGAACUGGCAAGCUAGAGUAGGGUAGAGGGGUGUGGAAUUCCAGGUGUAGCGGUGAAAUGCGUAGAUAUCUGGAGGAACAUCAGUGGCGAAGGCGACACCCUGGACUCAUACUGACACUGAGGUACGAAAGCGUGGGGAGCAAACAGG
rnacentral:rRNA from 1 species